rnacentral:rRNA from 1 species
UAGUGUUAUUCGUGAUGACUGGGCGUAGGGUACGUAGGCGGAUAAUCAAAAAUAUAGUAAAAGACUGAGGUUGACCCUCUUCAAGCUAUAUUCACUAGUUAUCUUGAGUUUUAAGGGCGAUAGUGAAUCCUUUAAGUAAGGGUUAAAUUGUUGAUAUUAGGAGACGUUCGAAAGCGAAAGCAAUGAUCGACUUAAAUCUGACGCUAGGUACUAAAGCAUGGGUAUGAAAAGGAUUAGAGACCUUGUAGUCCAUGCUGUAAACUAUGAGUGUUCAACAUCUUUUUGUGGUCUGGUUUUCUGCUUUUGUUCUUUUUACGAAAUGACAUGAAACAGAAGACAUGAAAGGGGGUUUGAAGCUAACGCGUGAAACACCGCCUGGGGAAUGUGGCCGCAAGGUUAAACUCAAAGGAAUUGACGGAGACUUGUACAAGGGGUGGAGAUGUGGUUUAAUUCGAG